AGAAACAAGGCAAGAAAGAUCCUACUUUUCUCUUCUCCGCCAUCCUAUGUGCGGUUGAGUUCUCUCCUCACCAUGUCUUCUCACAAGACUUUCAGGAUCAAGCAAUUCCUGGCCAAGAAACAAAAGCAGAAUCGUCCCAUUCCUCAGUGGAUUCGAAUGGAAACUGGCAAUAAAAUCAGGUACAACUCCAAGAGAAGACAUUGGAGAAGAACCAAGCUGGGUCUGUAAGAAGUGGUCUUAACGUGUGGCACACAUGUUAAGACCACUUUUUUAAGCAGCCAAAUCACAGUGAGAACAUCACUACUGUAAUGCUUGGCUCCUGAUGUUUCUUAUUUCCUCGCUAUCAGUCUGAGACUCAGUAAUAAAUAUGAAAUAUUG